rnacentral:rRNA from 1 species
UGGGGAAUAUUGCACAAUGGGCGCAAGCCUGAUGCAGCCAUGCCGCGUGUAUGAAGAAGGCCUUCGGGUUGUAAAGUACUUUCAGCGAGGAGGAAGGCGGUAAGGUUAAUAACCUUAUCGAUUGACGUUACUCGCAGAAGAAGCACCGGCUAACUCCGUGCCAGCAGCCGCGGUAAUACGGAGGGUGCAAGCGUUAAACGGAAUUACUGGGCGUAAAGCGCACGCAGGCGGUCUGUCAAGUCGGAUGUGAAAUCCCCGGGCUCAACCUGGGAACUGCAUUCGAAACUGGCAGGCUAGAGUCUUGUAGAGGGGGGUAGAAUUCCAGGUGUAGCGGUGAAAUGCGUAGAGAUCUGGAGGAAUACCGGUGGCGAAGGCGGCCCCCUGGACAAAGACUGACGCUCAGGUGCGAAAGCGUGGGGAGCAAACA